GGGCGGGGGGCCCAGCCGGGGCCCCUCAGGCGGGGGUCGGGAGAGCCGGGCUAGUGGGUUUCACCCAGCCAGUGAGGCUCGCCCGGCCGGAGCACAGUGGUCUUUAAGCCCCCAUGAGCUCCGGAUAGCUUUUUGGAACAAGAGCUCUGGACUGCAGAAGAUGAAGGCAAAUGCACCUUAGCGAUGUUGGUAUAAGCACUUCCACGGUGAUAAACUAGAAGUGAAAUUAAAAAACCCACCCACAUUACUUAUGAAAAUCAGAGUUAUAAUGCUUCAGACAUGGAGUCACAGAUGCUAGAACAAAUUUGGUGUGUUCCCAGACAUUGUCACAGUAACUGCCUGCAGGCUUUUUGCAAUAUGAAUCAAAUGGAUUUCAGCUAACAUUGAAGCUAAUUUGAUGAUCACUAUUUAGGAAGAUCAUAGACAAGGACAUCUGUGGGAACUGUUGUGACUUCUACUUAUGAAACUCUGGCUGAGAAUGAUGAAGGCUCUGGACUGAAAUUUGCUGAACUUGCCAUGGCCCUGUUCCUGAUAAAGUAAUGUUUCUGUUUACAGAGCUGUCAAAUCUUGCACUGCCACUUGCUUUCUAAUUAUCCAACAGUAUCUAAUGAUGAUGUAAUUUCACUAUUAUUCACACAAUGUCCUGGUUUGAACAGGAGAAGGAAACAAUUUAUUAAAAACAACAAACAAAACUCAAGCCUUUUUCCUAACUUUCUUUAUCUGUUGCUGCAGGUUUGCUCCUACUAGCAGAACCUUUUAAGGUAUAAAUCUAGAAUUAGCCCAAUUCACAUAUUUUAAAAGAAGGCAUUGAAUAUUGCUAGCAAAAGUAGCUGGAUAAAUUUAUAUGUCCAUGUAUUAGUUUCCAGUAAAUGAAGGUGUUGCAUGCGGAAACCAAAGUCAGUAAUGAAUGACUUUUGUAAUGAGAAUAAGGAGUGAGCAGCAAAAGCAGGCAGCUCUGACUUUGCAGUAAUUUCAUGUAGACACAUGAUUUUUUGUAUGCUUCUUAGGGAUUUAAAUUCCAUAACUCAGUUUAAGGUUACUGACUAGGAAGCUAUGACAGAUUACUGGUCCUUUGCAGGCUCUUAAUAAUGCAGUGUAAUUUAAAACUUUUUGAGCCUGUGUGAAAGAAAAGCCAUGUGGUUUCUCUGUGCUGUGGUCAAAAACUUGGCCAGGUGGAUGCUGCAAGGAAGCCUGUCAGGUUUGUUUGGGUGCAAAGUAUUUUAAGUACCUCACUUGAAACAGGGUUACAACAUACACAGUGCUAUUGUAAAAGAAACAGAAAUGAUUAAGUGUUCACAAAUUGGAAGUCAUUUAAACUCUGAGAAUGCAUGCAAGUGUCUUAGUUGCAGGAUCAUCUUCAUAUAUAAGUGAAUUGGUAAAUUCUUGAUUUUCCUGUUGUUCUAGGUACUGAACAUACCUGAAGGUACUACUUCAGUACCUGAAGGUAGAACUGUCCUUACAUUUGGGGUUAUCUUGUGUGUGCCAUUGGGAUUAGUCACUUCAGCUAAAAGGCACUGGAGAACUUUCUGGAUUUUUAUUAAUAUGUCUAGUAGGUGUCUGUGCACAAAUGUUUGAUUUUGCUAGAUAAUAAAUCAUGUAUUGGUUUGAAAAAAGCUGGUAUGGAUGUCUGGUUCCAGAAUAUAUAUCCUGGAAAGUCUCCCACAAUGUUUAGAUGGGUAGGGAUCUAGUGAAGGGCAGUGGUGAGAAACUAGUGCUGAUAGCAAAGACUCAGGUUUGGAGCAAUGCAGCUGGUGACUAAGUAGCUGCACUCCCAGAUGGAUUGCCAGAGUUUAGGUAGGCACAGUGCAAGGCACUGGUCUCAGGCUUGCAUCAGCUGUGGUUUCCAGGUUUGUGCAUGAGCAUUUUUUUCUGUACUCUUCACCAAGGAUCCAGCUCAGUUCCCCUGAAAUGCAAUGACAAAAUCCUUUGCAACUCCCUUGGGUGCCUUGCUGAUCGGAGAUGCACAGUUCAUUGGUAACAGUAAGUGACAACCUGGUGGCUUUAGAGCUCCACUUACUGUGUGUGACUGCAGAGCAGAGGCAAAUGUAUUUGUAUGUGUAUGGGUGUGUGAAAUUUGGCAUCCAGACUGUGAAAUGCUGUCAAUUGGCAGCAGAGCAAUCAAAGAGCUUUUAUUGCUAUCUCUUCUCUUGAGGAGCUUGUUGUGAUCAAUAUGUAAUCACUGUGAAAAAGAAUCAAAAGAUCUAAUAUUCCUUAUAUUUAUAUGUACACACGUGUAUAUAUUUUGUUUUCAUUAUAAAUACUUUGAUACUUUUCCUGACCAUAA